rnacentral:rRNA from 1 species
GCAUAGCACUCCUACGGGAGGCAGCAGUGGGGAAUAUUGCACAAUGGGCGCAAGCCUGAUGCAGCCAUGCCGCGUGUAUGAAGAAGGCCUUACGGGUUGUAAAGUACUUUCAGCAGUGAGGAAGGUGGGUAUGUUAAUAGCAUACUCAUUUGACGUUAGCUGCAGAAGAAGCACCGGCUAACUCCGUGCCAGCAGCCGCGGUAAUACGGAGGGUGCGAGCGUUAAUCGGAAUUACUGGGCGUAAAGCGCAUGCAGGUGGUUUGUUAAGUCAGAUGUGAAAGCCCGGGGCUCAACCUCGGAAUUGCAUUUGAAACUGGCAAACUAGAGUACUGUAGAGGGGGUAGAAUUUCAGGUGUAGCGGUGAAAUGCGUAGAGAUCUGAAGGAAUACCGGUGGCGAAGGCGGCCCCCUGGACAGAUACUGACACUCAGAUGCGAAAGCGUGGGGAGCAAACAGGAUUAGAUACCCUGGUAG